rnacentral:rRNA from 1 species
GACGAACGCUGGCGGCGUGCUUAACACAUGCAAGUCGAACGGAAAGGCCCUGCUUUUGUGGGGUGCUCGAGUGGCGAACGGGUGAGUAACACGUGAGUAACCUGCCCUUGACUUUGGGAUAACUUCAGGAAACUGGGGCUAAUACCGGAUAGGAGCUCCUGCUGCAUGGUGGGGGUUGGAAAGUUUCGGCGGUUGGGGAUGGACUCGCGGCUUAUCAGCUUGUUGGUGGGGUAGUGGCUUACCAAGGCUUUGACGGGUAGCCGGCCUGAGAGGGUGACCGGCCACAUUGGGACUGAGAUUCGGGCCAGACUCCUACGGGAGGCAGCAGUGGGGAAAAUUUCACAAUGGGCGGAAGCCUGAUGCAGCAACGCCGCGUGCGGGAUGACGGCCUUCGGGUUGUAAACCGCUUUCGCCUGUGACGAAGCGUGAGUGACGGUAAUGGGUAAAGAAGCACCGGCUAACUACGUG